GCUUUUCUCUUGUGGGACCUGUGGAAAAAGGUUCAGUCAAAAAAAGCAUUUAACUUCUCACAUGUGGACUCAUACAAGUGAGAAGGCAUUCUCUUGUGGGACCUGUGGAAAAAGUUUCCAUAUAAAACGUUAUUUAAAUGAUCAUAUGAGGACUCAUACAGGUGAAAAGCCUUUCUCUUGUGGGACUUGUGGAAAAUGUUUCCACCAAAAAAACAUUUUAACUUCUCACAUGAGGAUUCAUACAGAUGAGAAGGCAUUUUCUUGUGGGUUUUGUGGGAAACGUUUCCGUUGGCAAAGCAUUUAACUCGUCACAUCAUGCUUCACACAGGUCAGAAGCCUUUUGUAUGUGGGACUUGUGGAAAAAGUUUCCGUUGGCAAAGCAAUUUAACUGGUCACAUGAAGACUCAUACAGGAGGAUCAGAAUAAUCUGACCCUCAAGUACCAAAACACACUAACUCACAGCUUGGAAGCAGAGUAAUUACAGCUGGGUAACAUUUCUAUAAUGUAGCAGCUUGGAGAAGAAAACCAGUUGAAAUAGGACGUUUAUCUAACAACCAAAACUUUCACUUUAUUCUGUCAGUUUCAUCUUUUCAUUUAAAAUGGUUUUUAUCUUGAAAUAACAAUGGAUGUGAAUGUUUUCAGAUUUAGACUUGUAAAGCUGUUAUUGUAUGGCUAUUCCUUAUGCUUUGUUUUAUUUCUUUAAUUUUGGUCAGAGGAUGCAUGUUAGCUGUAACUAUAUGAACUGUUGGCGUAGGUAUAUUUUUGGGCCUAAACAAUUCCUCGAGUGAUUUGAGUACCUCGAUUAUUAAAAUUCCUCGAGGAAAAUGUAUCUGCCUCUAAGGUUCAUUAAAUUGUAUUUUAUUAUGUAAUGCACGGUUUUCCGGCUGGGUCGUUAUUUGCAUUGCGCAGCACUCUCACUUCCGCCUGAGUUGUGGACGAACGCGAACCUUAGCAGCAUAAGGUCCAAUUUUGAAGUUCGGCCUGGGAGGAUUUUACUGAUUCAUGAUAAUGUCUGGGUUUUUGUGCAUCGGGGGACCAAUGAGCAUCCCUUAAAUGUCGGGAGCGUUCCCUGGAGAACGGCAGCUGUUCUCCGGGAGCUGCUUGUUCAGAGCGACCAGCAUGGCGGGAUUAUUUAUACAUGUGAGCAGAUAGACUGAACACUGCGGGCGGCUGUGCUUUACACGAGUAGCUUUACGGACGAACCAGAAAAUAAAUUUCCUAUCAUCCCAGUCGCCACUAACGGGUGGCGUUGCAUACCUGGUAGAUGUUUGUGUGUGUGACGAACGACGGUGCCAAAUCCCGUCGUUGUGCUGAACGUAAACUAUAAAUGUCUGGGCAAUAAUACAUAAACCAAAAACCGGAGUAUAGACAUUUUUUAUAAGUGUAUUUGUGAGCCUGCCUCUUUAUUAUUAAAAUGAAUAUAAUUUCAGAUUCUUGUAUAACUUUUCUUCAGGUUAACUUGGAAAGUGAGUUAUUAUUGUUACAAGUUAAUUUUCUAAACUACAGAAAAGUUAUUGUUAGGGAAGUUCAAAUGUGAAAAAUUAUACUGUUGAUAUGCAAUAGUGAUACUGCUGUUAGAUUUACCAAUGUUUUUUUUUAUCUGACUACUUGAUUAAUUGUAAGAGUAAUCGAUGGAUUACUCGAUUACUAAAAUAUUUGUUUACAACAGCCCUAGUAUAUUUUGAUUACAUUUUUCACUCUAAAGUUGAAUCUAAAUAUAUAUUACUUUUUCAUUACUUUCUCGAGUUUUUGAUUCAGGGAGAAAAUACUGUUGAUCAUAUGAUGGCAACAAUGCAGAUGUUUCUACGUUUUGCUAAGUUGUGAUAAAACCAAAGAUGUUUUCCCUUUUUUUGUUAAAACAUCUGCAUCGACUUUAUUCUCGCUAAGUUUACUGUAAAUUGAAGUUGUAUUUUAUUCAUGUGACUUUUUUAAAAUCUAUAAAACAGUAUUUGUUUGAGAAUUUUUUUAUUGUUUAGGAUGUUAGAAAAUGUAUUGGUGAUAUAGAUUCAAUUUCAGAUAGAAAUGUGACCAGCAAAAACUGUUUCCAUGCCAUUCUUUUAUAAUAAAGUUUUUAUAAUAAAGUGUUUUUUAACCAUUA